CACCGCCCCCGAAAUCAUUUUUACUAUCUUGUUUAUUUUCCCCCUGAUGUGACUGCAGGACUAAUGCAUUCCCGCUCCCAACUUUUAUUAUCCUGUUUAUAUCCCCUCGGUGUGCCUGCAGGACUAAUGCGUUCUCGCUAUUACGCCACUUGCCUGCCCUCACCGCAACUUUUACUAUUUUGUUUAUUUUCCCUGCGAUGGGGCUGCAAAGCUAAUGCAUUAUUAAUCCCGCUCUUUCCUCUUCCCUCAAAACUCCUGGCGUGGAUGCAGCGCUGCCUGGCUAUUCCUGCCACGGCAGCCAAAGUGAUGCUGAACGCGAGAUCUGACAAAAUAGAAAAAGCAGGGAGGCCGCAGACACACAAAAAACAAACAUGUUCUUCAAUACGGCUGCUCUCUACUUUUACUCAGAGGUGGACAUGUCUUUCUAGAAGCUGGGUGAUUGUUGUUUUUUUUUUUUUAGCAAAACAAUUCUGUAAUUCUGUUGUCUCUAAAUUAAAAGGGAGCGGGGGGAGAAAACGGGGGAGCGAGCUGAGGUGGUCAGCAGAGACGAAAAUCUCAGCCUAUUCAAUUCUCCAUUGUAAGCAGCCCAGUGCAUUCCUGUCGCCACGCUCACAACUCCAUGGAGCAGACACCAAGAUACCGAGAGCCAGCAGAAAACUCAUAGCAUGUGAAGAAGAGAGUUGGAGCUACAACACGACACUGAGGAAAAACCACGGCUCGAUUUAAAUAAUUGCAUAAUAUUAGGAUUUAACUUAUAAAUGUUUACAUUUGUGUGAUUUGAUUAAUGUCACGUUUGAUUUCCUUAAAGCCACUGACAAGGUACUUUAAAACACGAGAUUAACGUCUACCAGCGAUGAAAUUCAACAGGCAAAUCCCCUUCCCAACACGCGGGCAGGCAGGGACCUCAGACCGCCUUUCUGCUCCCCGUAGCCCUCGGCCAAGGGGGCUCCCGGCACAUCCCGUGGUCAGCGAUCCCCCUCCCCCGCAGGUGACAGGAUUCCCGGCCGGUCCCUCCCCCGGCACCCGCCGCGCUGCGCGGGGCUCCGCCGGCGCUCCCGUUCAAA
rnacentral:lncRNA from 1 species